rnacentral:rRNA from 1 species
UAAGGGAUAUUGGUCAAUGGGCGAAAGCCUGAACCAGCAACGCCGCGUGCAGGAUGACGGCCUUCGGGUUGUAAACUGCUUUGGAAGGGGACGAGCAAGGACGGUACCCUUCGAACAAGUCACGGCUAACUACGUGCCAGCAGCCGCGGUAAAGCGUAGGUGGCGAGCGUUAUCCGGAUUUACUGGGCGUAAAGCAUGUGCAGACGGGUUGGUAAGUGGUGUAUGAAAGCGUCCGGCUUAACCGGGCAAGCGUAGGCCAGACUGCCAGUCUUGAGAGUGGGAGAGGGAUGUGGAAUUCCGGGUGUAGUGGUGAAAUGCGUAGAGAUCCGGAGGAACCCCAGAGGCGAAGGCGGCGUCCUGGCCCAUUUCUGACGUUCAGACAUGACAGCAUGGGGAGCGAAC